CUACGGGUGGCAGCAGUGGGGAAUAUUGGGCAAUGGGCGAAAGCCUUACCCAGCAAUGCCGCGUGAGUGAAGAAGGUCAUAAGAUUGUAAAGCUCUUUAAUUGGGGACGAAAAUAAUGACGGUACCCAAAGAAUAAGCCCCGGCUAACUACGUGCCAGCAGCCGCGGUAAUACGUAGGGGGCGAGCGUUGUCCGGAAUGACUGGGCGUAAAGGGUGUGUAGGUGGUUGUCUAAGUUGGAAGUGUAAUACCCAGGGCUUAACCCGGGUGCUGCUUCCAAGACUGGACGACUUGAGUGCAGGAGAGGAAAGUGGAAUUCCUAGUGUAGCGGUGGAAUGCGUAGAUAUUAGGAGGAACACCAGUGGCGAAGGCGGCUUUCUGGACUGUAACUGACACUGAGGCACGAAAGCGUGGGGAGCAAACAGGAUUAGAUACCCGUGUAGUC
rnacentral:rRNA from 1 species